rnacentral:rRNA from 1 species
ANNNNANGGGCGUGUCUACAAUGCAAGUCGAACGGAGUUUAUAGAAUGACGUUUUCGGAUGGAUUACUAUAAACUUGGUGGCGGACGGGUGAGUAACGCGUGGGUAACCUGCCUCAUACCGGGGGAUAACAGUUGGAAACGACUGCUAAAACCGCUUAACACUGCAUUGUCUCAUGGCAGAUCAAUUAAAUAUUCAUAGGUAUGAGAUGGGCCCGCGUCUGAUUAGCUAGUUGGUGAGGUAAUGGCUCACCAAGGCGACGAUCAGUAGCCGGCUUGAGAGAGUGACCGGCCACAUUGGGACUGAGACACGGCCCAAACUCCUACGGGAGGCAGCUUGGGGAAUAUUGCACAAUGGGGGAAACCCUGAUGCAGCGACGCCGCGUGAGUGAAGAAGUAUUUCGGUAUGUAAAGCUCUAUCAGCAGGGAAGAAAAUGACCGUACCUGACUAAAAAGCCCCGGCUAACUACGUGCCACCACCCGCGGUAAUACGUAGGGGGCAAGCGUUAUCCAGAUUUACUGGGUGUAAAGGGAGCGUAAGUGGUUCCGCGAGUCAGAUGUGAAAGCCCGGGGCUCAACCCCGGGACUGCAUUUGAAACUGUCCGACUGGAGUGCAGGAGAGGUAAGUGGAAUUCCUAGUGUAGCGGUGAAAUGCGUAGAUAUUACGAAGAACACCAGUGGCGAAGGCGGCUUACUGGACUGUAACUGACACUGANGCUCGAAAGCGUGGGGAGCAAACAGGAUUAGAUACCCUGGUAGUCCACGCCUUAAACGAUCAAUACUAGGUGUCUGGGGUCAAAAGACCUCCGGUGCCGUCCCAAACGCAUUAAGUAUUCCACCUGGGGGAGUACGUUUCGCAAGAAUGAAACUCAAAGGAAUUGACGGAU